GAUGGAUUGGAGGCUCUAAAACAAGCUGAGAUAAUGAGCUAAAAGGUUUUACAGCUCCUCCUGCCAAUCUCUCUUCUCUUCAAGACCCAGGAAUUGGGCCUGCAGUAUUCCUCCUUGGUGGGUCACCAAUAGGCACCCUGUGCAGAAGGCUGAGGCAGAAGGAUGGUUGAAAGCAAGGCCAAGAUUUCCAUGUGCAGAAAGUCUUGCAAAUGGGACUGCUCCCUCAGUGCCCUCUCUCUCCCUUAAAUCAUUUGUAACAUUAUGUAUGCAUGUUGGAAACAAUGGUAUCUCCCCAGCUUCCCCGUUAA
ensembl:lncRNA novel transcript, intronic to TNFAIP8L3